CCUACGGGCGGCAGCAGUGAGGAAUAUUGGUCAAUGGACGAGAGUCUGAACCAGCCAAGUAGCGUGAAGGAUGACUGCCCUAUGGGUUGUAAACUUCUUUUAUAUGGGAAUAAAAUGUUCCACGUGUGGGAUUUUGUAUGUACCAUAUGAAUAAGGAUCGGCUAACUCCGUGCCAGCAGCCGCGGUAAUCCGGAGGAUCCGAGCGUUAUCCGGAUUUAUUGGGUUUAAAGGGAGCGUAGGUGGAUUGUUAAGUCAGUUGUGAAAGUUUGCGGCUCAACCGUAAAAUUGCAGUUGAAACUGGCAGUCUUGAGUACAGUAGAGGUGGGCGGAAUUCGUGGUGUAGAGGUGAAAUGCUGAGAUAUCACGAAGAACUCCGAUUGCGAAGGCAGUUCACUGGACUGCAACUGACACUGAGGCUCGAAAGUGUGGGUAUCAAACAGGAUUAGAUACCCCAGUAGUC
rnacentral:rRNA from 1 species